AGAGACAGCAGCAGCCGCGGGAAAACAGAGGGUGCGAGCGUUAAUCGGAUUUACUGGGCGUAAAGCGUGCGUAGGCGGCUUCUUAAGUCGGAUGUGAAAUCCCUGAGCUUAACUUAGGAAUUGCAUUCGAUACUGGGAAGCUAGAGUAUGGGAGAGGAUGGUAGAAUUCCAGGUGUAGCGGUGAAAUGCGUAGAGAUCUGGAGGAAUACCGAUGGCGAAGGCAGCCAUCUGGCCUAAUACUGACGCUGAGGUACGAAAGCAUGGGGAGCAAACAGGAUUAGAUACCCGUGUAGUCCCUGUCUCUUAUAC
rnacentral:rRNA from 1 species